AGCCUUCGCUAGGGGUGCGAGGCCGUCCGACACCGGACGCGCUUCGCUGAGAAACACCCUUUGAACCUGACCGAGGUCGUUCUCGCGUAGGGAAGCAACGAUGCGCACCG
rnacentral:ncRNA from 2 species